rnacentral:rRNA from 1 species
CUUUGGUUCUAUUUUCGUUGGUUUCUAGGACCGAAGUAAUGAUUAAUAGGGAUGGUUGGGGUGGUUAGUAUUUAAUUGUCAGAGGUGAAAUUCUUGGAUUUAUGAAAGACUAACUUCUGCGAAAGCAUUCCACAAGGACGUUUUCAUUAAUCAAGAACGAAAGUUAGGGGAUCGAAGAUGAUCAGAUACCGUCGUAGUCUUAACCAUAAACUAUGCCGACUAGGGAUCAGUGGAUGUUAUUUUUUUAUUAUGACUCCAUUGGCACCUUAUUGAGAAAUCACAAGUCUUUGGGUUCCGGGGGGAGUAUGGUCGCAAGGCUGAAACUUAAAGGAAUUGACGGAAGGGCACCACCAGGAGUGGAGCCUGCGGCUUAAUUUGACUCAACACGGGGAAACUCACCAGGUCCAGACAUGGGAAGGAUUGACAGAUUGAGAGCUCUUUCUUGAUUCUAUGGGUGGUGGUGCAUGGCCGUUCUUAGUUGGUGGAGUGAUCUGUCUGGUUAAUUCCGAUAACGAACGAGACCUUAACCUGCUAACUAGUUACGCCAGCUUAACCUUUUUAAUUUUGGGAAAGGGGUUUUUUCUCCUUUUUUUUUAGUUAUUUAGGUGGCUGAGUGGUCAACUUCUUAGAGGGACUGUCGGUGUUUAACCGACGGAAGUUUGAGGCAAUAACAGGUCUGUGAUGCCCUUAGAUGUUCUGGGCCGCACGCGCGCUACACUGACGGAGGCAGCGAGUUUAAAAAAAGAUUUUUUUUUCGUAAGUUAAGAAAAUUUUUUUCCUGAUCCGGAAGGAUUGGGUAAUCUUCUGAAACUCCGUCGUGC